rnacentral:rRNA from 1 species
CCUACGGGUGGCAGCAGUGGGGAAUAUUGCACAAUGGGGGAAACCCUGAUGCAGCGACGCCGCGUGGGUGAAGAAGUAUUUCGGCAUGUAAAGCUCUAUCAGCAGGGAAGAAGAUGACGGUACCUGACUAAGAAGCCCCGGCUAACUACGUGCCAGCAGCCGCGGUAAUACGUAGGGGGCAAGCGUUAUCCGGAUUUACUGGGUGUAAAGGGAGCGUAGACGGUGCUGCAAGUCCGGUGUGAAAGGUCAUGGAUUAACCCUGGGACUGCAUUGGAAACUGUUGAACUGGAGUUCGGGAGAGGCAAGCGGAAUUCCUAGUGUAGCGGUGAAAUGCGUAGAUAUUAGGAGGAACACCAGAGGCGAAGGCGGCUUACUGGAUCGUAACUGACGUUGAGGCUCGAAAGCGUGGGGAGCAAACAGGAUUAGAUACCCGAGUAGUC